rnacentral:ribozyme from 2 species
CCUCUAAUGCAGCCUGCCGCUGGCGAGUGACCACGGCAGCCCGUCCCAAGCCGGAAAAUGCAGAGGGGAGA